CACACACUCAUACACCAUCAAGCACUCUCUAUGUGUCUUACACACACACACUCACAAAUUAUGCAGGAGCACCAUGAGAUAUAGAGACAGCGAGAGCUGUGAAAGAAGUGUGAGGGGUCCUCUAAAACAAGCUCUGAGGGACUCUAGCCUGUCUGCUGCAGGUACCAUUAAGAAUCAAAGAGAGGAAAACAAUCUGAGGGAGAGGAAACGAGACAUGGAGGGAAAUCAAAGCCACCUAAGUGACGACUGCAUUCAAGGCCCUCAACACAAGCUGAAAACUUCUGUGGCUGACAAGAAAUCAAUGGCGUCUGGGCGUGGGGGCUCAGGUAUCGGAUUUCAGGUGGGCCCAGAAGUGCCCGAGCCCCGCAACACUGUCCACGGCCGUUAGCCUCCCGCGCCAGAGACGCAGAGUCUUUGGCUGCCGGAUAAAAAUGUCAAGCGCUAAUAGGUUCCAUUGUGAUUAGCCGAGAUAGUGUUCGCAAAUCCUCUGCAGAAAACGUGUUAGAAACAAUCUUUACAAGGUCUUACGGCCCCCCAACCACCACCAGCACCUCCAUCUCUCCAUCCUUGCUCUUCCGAGAUUCUGCUAAGCCUCUCGGCGCCAGGAUGAUUGUGGUUAAUAAAUAAAUAAACCAUGGACGGGAAAAAAGAAUCAAUUAAAUGAACGAGAGUUAGAGUGACAAAAGAUGUCCAAAAGACGCAGGAAUAUGCAUGAAGAGAGAAGGAUGCUCGUUACCUGAGGAUGCGCCCAUCUGCAUCUCUCUCUGGCCUCUGCCUCACUGCGGGCAACGAGAACGAGUUACACACUCUUAUUCUUCAGCUUCUCUUUCAUCUGUUCCACUGCCUACCUCCACUUCAGCCGCCCAACCAUCAGAAGGAAUACAAUCGGCUUUUCAUGAACAUCUGUUCCAGUGCCCUUGUCUACAAUCCGCUGUACACACAAGUUGCUCACCAAAGGAAACCAGCUUGAGUUUUGGGUGAAGUGUUACAUGUUGAAAAAAUGCAGAGUCAGUAAAUUAUUCUGAGAACUAGAAAGGUUAAGAAAUAGUUUGAUAGUUUUUCUUACAAAACAGGAGAUUAUAGAUUAUACGAUAGAUAGAUAGAUAGAUAGAUAGAUAGAUAGAUAGAUAGAUAGAUAGAACAAAAAGACGGAAUAAAUAGAAUCAUCAUAUACAUGGUAUAUUUGGCUAAAAUUAUACCCGAGUGAUUGUUUUAUUGAUUCAUAUCUGUGUAUGCUGAAGUGAGACAUCCUUAAAUUUUUUCAGGAAAAUUAUUUAUAAUUAUCUAUCUAGUAGUUCAUUAGCUAAGUGAUUUGAUUAAUAAAGUUCAGCCACAUCCUGUAAAAUCAAUAUAAAUGUUGGCAUUAUAUUCAGCUUUUUUAUAUAAAUAUAUUUAGGCCGGUAGUAUUUAAUAUCCAUGCAUUGAUUAAUGAAUCAGUGGUGCAUUCAAAUAGUAUUAGAAACCCUAAUUACUGUUUCAUGGGAUAUACAAAAUCUGCAACAAGUAUAAUUGCCUGCUAAUUAUUUAUAUCAUAAUAGCACAGAGUGAGCCCCUUGAUCAUGCAGUUAUUAGUUUAAUGUAAAGGUAAUAAAGAGGCCGGAUAUUAAAUUGAACUAAGUUAUUAAACAGUUGGCCCUUGUGUACACAACUGUCACUUAAAAUUAUUUGUACUUUCUUAAAUGCUUCCCAUUACCCCUCAAAAGCCCAGAAGUCGUCUCUGUUCCUGCCCGACCCAAAUCAGCCCACAGUGGACAGUGUAAAGUCAUCUUAUUAGAGUGGAUGGGAUGAUUUGGAAACAUGUUAACGGUCGUGCAGCUGGGACUGACAGGAACAUCACAGUGUUUAUGUCAGUGCUGUCGAGGGUGGGGAACGCAGAUGACGGCGUGUGUGAAGUUGACUGUACAGCAGGGAACGAGAGAGUUUCAGAAGGCUUGAGAAGCUCAUUAAAGCUGAGUAGCACUGGAUCCUGAUUCUAUAGUUUUCUGUUAAUGCAAACGCCACCGGGCCGGACAACAAGCUACUGCCGUAACAUCCACACACUCCGCAUUUAAUUGGGUGAAUACAAAUAUAGCUACUGCAUCAUUGGAGUAAAAAUAUUCAAUGUACUAAAUGUAUUUACUUUUAAAAUAAAUUAGUUUAAAUUAUUUAUCAAUCUAAAUUGUAUUCAAAUUAGUAUUCGAAAAAUUACUAACCGCACACACC
rnacentral:lncRNA from 1 species